UCUCGGUGAAGAAACACCCAAAUGUUUUACCUCCUGUCCUAGUCCCAGAGCCUGCAAAGGUGAACCCACUGAGACUGGCUGGAGGUGAAGGGGGGAAGAGGAAAUUUGUUCCAGAAGGAACUGUCUGAGGGAU
rnacentral:snoRNA from 12 species